GGGGAGGUAGCAUAAUUGGCUAAUGCUCCCGGCUGUGACCCAGGAUGAUGUCGGUUCGAGCCCGGCCCAUCCCU
rnacentral:tRNA from 1 species